UGUGAGUGGAAUGCGGAAGGUUGGCCUUAUGGGAUUAUAUAAUUAGUCUGAGUGGCUGCAAUAGACAACCCUGCAACUGGGCAGUAGAAGUUUUUUUAAUGUCUGCUUCCCUGAUUGUUGAUUCAUUCUGGCCUUUUGAUUCAGCUAUCUUCACUUGAUCAGCCUUUGUUGCUCGCAUUUAGAUUUAGGUGCAACAGAAAGUGAAUUGCUAUUGACC
rnacentral:misc_RNA from 1 species